AUACAUAUAGCCACACCACUGUGUGCAAGUAGUGCUUGGUAAAACGACAUUAGUAGGCCUACCUAAAAAACUAUUCACCGUUUUAAACGGAGCUACACUUAGCACACACCUUUAAAACGCGAGGAAUUUACACAGUGAAAUUCAGACACAAACAUCAGUUUUAUUUUGAAGGCAACAUUAUUCCAGUCCGCACUUCCAGUUUCGUUUCUGAAACAACUGUGCCUGGCAUCGUGUCUACAUAUGCCUACUGUAGAGCUGUUCACCAUCCUCAACUAUCUUGAAGAUAAGACACCAAAGUGAGUAAACGUCAAAGGUUCAUUCAGCCUUCUCUACAUUCUUCAGCAGACCAACUGUCCACUAUGAACUCCAUGUUAACCAAUAGCCAGCAGAAAACUAUCUGCUCCCAGCUGGGAAGAGUCAAACUCCGGCUGCUGUACAAGGCCAGCAUCCAUGGUUUCACCGGUGCAGCCUUUCACCAACGAUGUGACAACCGCUGUCCCACAUUGUCUGUGGGCUACAACGCCUCUGGUUAUGUGUUUGGAGGCUACACCAAACAACCUUUCAGUCAGUCAGGACAGUAUGUCCAAGAUGGCCAGGCCUUUCUUUUCACCUUCAGUGGAGAAAAGCUCAUCAAGUAUCCGGUCACCGAACCUGCUUACGCAGUGAGAAUGGUAGCUAACUCUGGUCCAUAUUUUGGAGAGGCGUUGGUUCUUGUCAAUGGAAGCCAAGCAGUAGUCCAUAACAAUCCAGGAAAUUAUUACAACUUCAAUGCUGCAGAAAUGCAUGGCAAUGACCUCAACCUGGCUGAGUGUGAAGUCUAUGAAGUCGAGGAAACCACAGAACUUGAGAGUCCAUGGAGAACUAUCACCUGGGAAUCUGAGAAGAAGAAGGAGCUGAUGGAGACUGUUAAGACGUACAAACCCACAGUCAGCUCUGUGCCCCAGGUUCGGGUUCUGCUCAUUGGACCAGUUGGAGCUGGAAAGUCCAGCUUCUUUAAUUCUAUCAACUCUGUAUUCAGAGGCCACGUCACCAGCCAGGCCAUCGCUGGCAGCUCUACCACCAGCCUCACCACACAGUUUCGCACCUACUCAAUGAAAGCUGGGCGAGACGGAAAACUUUUGCCAAUCAUCUUGUGUGAUACCAUGGGACUGGAGGAAAGUACAGGGGCGGGGCUUGAUAUAGAUGACAUCAGCAGCAUCCUUAAAGGUCAUCUGCCAGACCGUUAUCAGUUCAACCCCUCUGCUCCUCUGCAUUCGGAGACCAGCGGGUAUCGUAAGUCUCCAGGGCUUAAGGACAAGAUCCACUGUGUGGCCUAUGUCACUGACGCCUGCAAGGUCUCCAUCAUGCCCACAAAGCUGGAGGAGAAGCUGAAUGCUAUCCGCAGAAAGGUCAACUUAAUGGGGAUUCCUCAGCUGGUCCUGGUCACUAAAGUAGAUGAAGCCUGCCCUUUGGUGACAGAGAACGUGAGGAACAUUUACAAGAGUGGCUACAUCAAGGAAAUUAUGCAGGAGGUCAGUGCUCGGCUCGGUGUGCCACUGUCCUGUGUUGUUCCUGUGAAGAACUACAGCGAGGAGUUGGAGUUGGACCCAAACUGUGACAUCCUGCUGCUCAGCGCCAUCAUCCAGAUGCUUCGCUUCGCAGAUAAUUACUUUGAUGAGAUCAGUGACCAAUUCAGCAACAUUGAAGUCAAAGAAUAGGAAGUAUUAGAGCAGCACACGUUAUAUCCUGUCCAACUGGAAUGAAAUGUCUCUCAAAAUGAUCUAUCCAUCCAUUUACCGGCAGGUGAUCCUGCCUAAUGCUUGUUCACUGUGCACUUCCUCCUCUGAGUUUUCCAAGCACCCCUUGGAAUGAUGGGAGAUGUAGUGCCUCUAGUAUUUCCUCGAACAGUGCAGCACCUCCAGUUUGUGGCUUCAGAAACUCAGUGAGCUGAUCCUUAAUUUGAUUGUGUCUCUUAGUUGCACAAUAUCCAUUUUAUUUCUCAUUUGGUUUUAAAUUAUUUAUAUUUGAAAAGUAUUACAUAAUAAUGAUUUGAAUUUUUUCAUUAGAGGUCUAAAGACAUAUUAUUAUUAUAUUAUAUAUUGUUACAUUGUUGGC